rnacentral:rRNA from 1 species
GACGAACGCUGGCGGCGUGCCUAAUACAUGCAAGUCGAACGCUGAAGGAGGAGCUUGCUCUUCUGGAUGAGUUGCGAACGGGUGAGUAACGCGUAGGUAACCUGCCUGGUAGCGGGGGAUAACUAUUGGAAACGAUAGCUAAUACCGCAUAAGAGUAGCUGUUGCAUGACAUUUACUUAAAAGGUGCAAUUGCAUCACUACCAGAUGGACCUGCGUUGUAUUAGCUAGUUGGUGGGGUAACGGCUUACCAAGGCGACGAUACAUAGCCGACCUGAGAGGGGGAUCGGCCACACUGGGACUGAGACACGGCCCAGACGCCUACGGGAGGCAGCAGUAGGGAAUCUUCGGCAAUGGACGGAAGUCUGACCGAGCAACGCCGCGUGAGUGAAGAAGGUUUUCGGAUCGUAAAGCUCUGUUGUAAGAGAAGAACGGGUGUGAGAGUGGAAAGUUCACACUGUGACGGUAUCGUACCAGAAAGGGACGGCUAACUACGU